rnacentral:rRNA from 1 species
AGAGUUUGAUCCUGGCUCAGGAUGAACGCUGGCGGCGUGCUUAACACAUGCAAGUCGAACGAAGCGCUUAAAUGGAUUUCUUCGGAUUGAAGUUUUUGUGACUGAGUGGCGGACGGGUGAGUAACGCGUGGGUAACCUGCCUCAUACAGGGGGAUAACAGUUAGAAAUGACUGCUAAUACCGCAUAAGCGCACAGUGCUGCAUGGCACAGUGUGAAAAACUCCGGUGGUAUGAGAUGGACCCGCGUCUGAUUAGCUAGUUGGUGGGGUAACGGCCUACCAAGGCGACGAUCAGUAGCCGGCCUGAGAGGGUGAACGGCCACAUUGGGACUGAGACACGGCCCAAACUCCUACGGGAGGCAGCAGUGGGGAAUAUUGCACAAUGGGGGAAACCCUGAUGCAGCGACGCCGCGUGAGCGAAGAAGUAUUUCGGUAUGUAAAGCUCUAUCAGCAGGGAAGAAAAUGACGGUACCUGACUAAGAAGCCCCGGCUAACUACGUGCCAGCAGCCGCGGUAAUACGUAGGGGGCAAGCGUUAUCCGGAUUUACUGGGUGUAAAGGGAGCGUAGACGGCAUGGCAAGCCAGAUGUGAAAGCCCGGGGCUCAACCCCGGGACUGCAUUUGGAACUGUCAGGCUAGAGUGUCGGAGAGGAAAGCGGAAUUCCUAGUGUAGCGGUGAAAUGCGUAGAUAUUAGGAGGAACACCAGUGGCGAAGGCGGCUUACUGGACGAUGACUGACGUUGAGGCUCGAAAGCGUGGGGAGCAAACAGGAUUAGAUACCCUGGUAGUCCACGCCGUAAACG